AUUUAGUUGCUACAUUUAUAAAAACAUAAUCUAGUGUAAUAAUUAUUAUUUUUAUAUUGAUUAUAUAAACAUAGUAAAAGAAUGAUACCAUUGAAUAUAUUGGUUUAAUAAAGAGAAUGUUUCUGUUCAGGUAUAAAUAGUAUAAAUAGUAUAAUAUAUCACUGUUAUUUCAUUACCAUAUAAUAUCCCAGUAUCUUAUAUUUAUAAUAUAUGUUCACUUUUUACUUGGUAAUACAAAAUAACAUUUUGGUCAUAGUGAUUUUGUUGACAAAUGACCAUAAGGGGUGGGGGAGUUGUGUUUUAUCUAUCAGAAACUAAAUAUUCAACAACAUACGUUUUAGAUUGUACCCAGUUAUAGAAAUACCCAAUUAUACAAGUAUUGUGGAAGUGAACACGAACACAGAAAAUAUAACUAACUAAACAAUAAUCAAUUUAAACACAAACCACAUUAAAUAAUAACACUGUGAUUAAAAUAAUAAUAGAAUA